GCAGGUGCACGGCCCCCCCGGCUCUCCCACCUGCACCCCGCGCCGGGCGCGCUCCGGGAGCCACGGCUCCAGAAGCCACGCGGAAAGAGGCUUUAAGCAGGCCGUCUAGCUGCGCGGGGCGUCUUUUGCUUUUGCUUUUUUUCCCCCUUUUUCUUUGGAAAACCACUGCCGAGCGAUCCGGUUGAUGUGAAGGUCAAAAACCAAGCGUGUGAAUCGGCUACAUGAUUGACAAAAUCGUUGGAAUCAACAAAGGACUGAAGAUGUUUCUGCAAAGUGCUGUCAUUUGCUGCCCACAGGACCCUCUGACAUUCACUCAUUCCUUCAUUUGUCAAGUAUUCAUCGAGUACCCAUCAGUUACUCCCCUAAGGAAGACAGAAGCAGGACGCCAGAGCUAAUGAAAAUAAAAAGCUGGAAAAGCUGAUGGGGGAGUAAGUGGCUACAUACCCUGAGGGCAGGAGGGAGAUGAAAGGGAGGACCUUGGGGGAAAACCUUCCGCUGGAUCUUAGUUGAAGAUUGCAUUGAAAGCAGAAGCUGCCCCAAUCCAGGGUAUGCCAUUUACACUCACAACUCUCUUCCUCCUGCCUUGGAAUAAAAAUAUCAGUGGAAAUUAUUCUGUAAAUGUGGCCAUUAUGUUUUACUUCUGCUGAUAUUGAAGUUCGUUCCUAUUCCCCGAGGACACAGGGAAAGGUAGAAGGGAGGCAGUGGUCUGGGCAGGUUGGAGACGCCUGCCUGGAAUUUAAUAUUUUCUGUAGGCAAUCUCUUCAUGGGUAAUUGAAAGUGGGCUCUUUGAAAUGCUAGUGAUUUAAUACUUUUCUUAUGAAUUAAAAAGUAGGCACAUGCUCUGCCUUUAUUCUUUAUAAAGUAGCCAUUUAAACAUCUUCCAGUGUUGGAAGUAUUUCUGGCUUCAAUAUUUCAGAACUUUGAAAAUUAAAAGGUCUAGUAUUUAGGGCAAAUAGUCCUUGUCCUGUUUCACAUAACCAGGGCUGAACCAUUAAAGUCCUGACAUUUCCUGGCACAGGCACAAAUGCUGCCAUGUUUUACAGCCACACGGAGAGUGAGGUAAUCACUAGCA